CCUACGGGAGGCUGCAGUGAGGAAUAUUGGUCAAUGGCCGAGAGGCUGAACCAGCCAAGCCGCGUGAGGGAAGAAUGUCCUAUGGAUUGUAAACCUCUUUUGUCAGGGAGCAAAGUCACCCACGUGUGGGUGUUGGAGAGUACCUGAAGAAAAAGCAUCGGCUAACUCCGGGCCAGCAGCCGCGGUAAUACGGAGGAUGCGGGGGUUAUCCGGAUUUAUUGGGUUUAACGGGUGCGUAGGCGGGUUAUCAAGUCAGCGGUAAAAUCGUGGAGCUCAACUCCAUCCAGCCGUUGAAACUGAUGGUCUUGAGUGGGCGAGAGGUAUGCGGAAUGCGUGGUGUAGCGGUGAAAUGCAUAGAUAUCACGCGGAACUCCGGUUGCGAAGGCGGCAUACCGGCGCCCGACUGACGCUGAGGCACGAAAGCGUGGGUAUCGAACAGGAUUAGAUACCCCUGUAGUC
rnacentral:rRNA from 1 species